UAUACUGGAAAACACACAACACACACACAUAUGCGUGUGUUGGGUCGCCAGGAACAAGAAGGAGAAGAGAACUCCCCUCAUCUUCACAAAGUUAGCAAAUUGAAGCCCUAAUUAUGGCUAUAACUCUUGCAUGUUAAUGGAUUCUUGAUCAUCUAGCCCUAACAAAGCUCAAGGAAUUAAGGAGGAAAGCUCAAGCCGUUCCGAGUCUCAAACGAAGAACGAUAAAGGUAAAACGACUUGCUAAUUGGCGUCACCCGGAUCGAACACACUCAUGAUGCACGCUUCCGUGAAGAAACUAGUUUUUAGUCAAAACUUUUGUUAAAUGCUCUCCUUUUGUUGUAAACGGGUCUUUUGUAAGUUUUAUGAUCCGAAAGUACUAGAUGUUGAACUUGUAGUUAAAAGAUUAUGUUAGUUGUUUAUAUAAAGUUUGGGUUGAAAACGGUUGUGGACGUUAUGUGUUCGUUACCAAGUUAAAUGCAGAAUUUUGUUUUGUAAAUUA